UCGGGAAUUUUGGGCAAUGGGCGAAAGCCUGACCCAGCAACGCCGCGUGAAGGAUGAAGUCUCUCGGGAUGUAAACUUCGUAAGAAUAGGAAGAAUAAAUGACGGUACUAUUUAUAAGGUCCGGCUAACUACGUGCCAGCAGCCGCGGUAAUACGUAGGGACCAAGCGUUGUUCGGAUUUACUGGGCGUAAAGGGCGCGUAGGCGGCAAUUCAAGUCAUCUGUGAAAUCUCCGGGCUUAACUCGGAACGGUCAGAUGAUACUGCUUUGCUAGAGUGCAGAAGGGGCAAUCGGAAUUCUUGGUGUAGCGGUGAAAUGCGUAGAUAUCAAGAGGAACACCUGAGGUGAAGACGGGUUGCUGGGCUGACACUGACGCUGAGGCGCGAAAGCCAGGGGAGCAAACGGGAUU
rnacentral:rRNA from 1 species